rnacentral:rRNA from 1 species
AACGAACGCUGGCGGCAUGCCUAACACAUGCAAGUCGAACGAGAUCUUCGGGUCUAGUGGCGCACGGGUGCGUAACGCGUGGGAAUCUGCCCUUUGGUUCGGAAUAACAGUUGGAAACGACUGCUAAUAUCGGAUGAUGACGAAAGUCCAAAGAUUUAUAGCCAGAGGAUGAGCCCGCGUAGGAUUAGCUAGUUGGUGUGGUAAAGGCGCGCCAAGGGGACGAUCCUUAGCUGGUCUGAGAGGAUGAUCAGGCACACUGGGAAGAAGACACGGCCCAGACUCCUACGGGAGGCAGCAGUGGGGAAUAUUGGACAAUGGGCGGGAGCCUGAUCCAGCAAUGCCGCGUGAGUGAUGAAGGCCUUAGGGUUGUAAAGCUCUUUUACCCGGGAUGAUAAUGACAGUACCGGGAGAAUAAGCUCCGGCUAACUCCGUGCCAGCCGCCGCGGUAA